rnacentral:tRNA from 1 species
CUUUAGUAAGUAUUUUUGUACAUUUGCCUUCCAAGCAAAAAGACUAGGUGAACAUAGACUAAAGA